rnacentral:miRNA from 1 species
CGUUUCGCCCACAACAGGCUUCUUCAAGUAGAGUAUGUUUUUACUAUAUUCUACUUGAAGAAGCCUGUUGUGGGCGAAACGCGUUUAGAA